CUUGCUUCAAUUGUUCUCUUUCUUUUUUUCAUUUCCUCUAAACACAACACAAAUAUUUCUCUCAUACUCCCUCAUCCUCUCCCACGGUACCCACUCCAAAUCAACAUCUCUACCAUUAUUUUUCCGGCAAGAUCAACAGAAAAUUGUUGUGAACCCAUAAACACCUUCAUAUCUUUUUGAGGUUCUAGCUAAUCUCCUUGGAGCUUGGAGAAUUAGGAUUUUGAGGUUGCGAGUUUUUCAGAUUUAAUAGCUAUACCUUGGGUAUGGAGCUUAAUUCUUUGGUGAUGAUUAGAGUACUAUGUUAAAUUUGGAGACUUCUGCUGUAAAUAGUUGGUGACUCGAUCUUGUCAUGUUCAAUGAGACCUUAAUUAAUUCUAUUGGAGGCGGGUUGCUUGAGGUUUGUUAGCCUUUGGUGUGGUAGGCCUAGACUCGAUAUUAAGGUCCUUAUUCUUGAUAAGAUUGUGGCUUUGUGUAAUUUAAUCAAAGUUUUGUAAUAUAUUCAUGUAUUAUGUGGAGGCACAUGAUUUUUAGUUAUUGUUCAUAAAU